GACGAACGCUGGCGGCGUGCUUAACACAUGCAAGUCGAACGGAAAGGCCCUGCUUGCAGGGUACUCGAGUGGCGAACGGGUGAGUAACACGUGGGUGAUCUGCCCUGCACUUCGGGAUAAGCCUGGGAAACUGGGUCUAAUACCGGAUAGGAGCCAUUUUUAGUGUGAUGGUUGGAAAGUUUUUUCGGUGUAGGAUGAGCUCGCGGCCUAUCAGCUUGUUGGUGGGGUAAUGGCCUACCAAGGCGGCGACGGGUAGCCGGCCUGAGAGGGUGGACGGCCACAUUGGGACUGAGAUACGGCCCAGACUCCUACGGGAGGCAGCAGUGGGGAAUAUUGCACAAUGGGCGCAAGCCAGAUGCAGCGACGCCGCGUGGGGGAUGACGGCCUUCGGGUUGUAAACUCCUUUCGCUAGGGACGAAGCUUUUUGUGACGGUACCUAGAGAAGAAGCACCGGCUAACUACGUG
rnacentral:rRNA from 1 species